GAUGAACGCUGGCGGCGUGCCUAAUACAUGCCAGUCGAGCGAACAGACGAGGGGCUUGCUCCUCUGACGUUAGCGGCGGACGGGUGAGUAACACGUGGAUAACCUACCUAUAAGACUGGGAUAACUUCGGGAAACCGGAGCUAAUACCGGAUAACAUGUUGAACCGCAUGGUUCAACAGUGAAAGACGGUUUUGCUGUCACUUAUAGAUGGAUCCGCGUCGCAUUAGCUAGUUGGUAAGGUAACGGCUUACCAAGGCAACGAUGCGUAGCCGACCUGAGAGGGUGAUCGGCCACACUGGAACUGAGACACGGUCCAGACUCCUACGGGAGGCAGCAGUAGGGAAUCUUCCGCAAUGGGCGAAAGCCUGACGGAGCAACGCCGCGUGAGUGAAGAAGGUCUUCGGAUCGUAAAACUCUGUUAUUAGGGAAGAACAAAUGUGUAAGUAACUAUGCACGUCUUGACGGUACCUAAUCAGAAAGCCACGGCUAACUACGUG
rnacentral:rRNA from 1 species